UGAAACGAUACGUAACAAAGCUCAUACCAUCGGUGCCCUAAUUUUGAAUCGAUACGUAUGAAACAGAGUCUAUCCGUCUGCGAUUGAACAACAACCAAAUUCCGUCCGGAGAUUGGAGCUAUAAAUCGACUGAAUCUAUCUCGAUUGGAGCUAGAAGUCAAUUGAAUCUGUUUCGAUUGGAAUUAUGCGAUUGAAAACCUAGAUUUGAACACCGAAUCUCAUAAGGAGCUGAAAUGAAUCUGAUUUUGUUUUUCAAUCUAUUGGAUUAAAGAAUACUGAAUAUUUGGAGAAUAAUUGAAGAUUAAGUUCUAUUGGAAGGAAUCAUUUAUGAAGAAAUCAGAAUCGUUAACGGAGAUUAUGUCCAUCGGUUUCUCUCUUUUCAUCUAUAACAUCAGGAAGGUCGGAGUAGUUAAAGGCGCACACAAGUCGCUAAGGACUCCGGGGACAACACAAUAAUACUUUAUGUGGUUUUGCACAAUAUGCCUAGGCCUUACCUUGCCUGGGCUCCUAGGUUUGCAGGAGUACUUCCAUGAGAAAGACUUUUUGAAUCAUCAAGAAGUAUUUGGAAUCUUCUUCCAUAGCUAAAAAAGUAGAAUGGUCCUUUCAAAACGUGCUGGGAAGUAUGCUUGACUUCUAAGGUUAAUUCCAACAACAGAAUCCCAUUUUAUUGUCCAAGAGUUGAACAUAGAGCUCAACAAUCUUCAUACCUUGAGCGAAGGUGUUUCUAAUGCUACCCCUAUGUACAACAAAAGUGUAUUAGAGAACAUGUUUAUGGGACAUGGUGCAGAAUUUGUUAAAAUGGCUUUCUUAGGAUGAAGGCCUUACAGGAGGCUUUAGUUUUGCUUAAGGUAUGAUAUUGUUAAAGAAAUUUAUGUUUAUUAUAUUGAUUUAGGUAUGGGCUCGACAAAGAACUUCUUUGAACAUUUAUGGUUCUGUGAAUGGGUACCUUAUAUCUCAAUCCUAAUGGCUUACCUUGCAUCAGAAUUUUGUAAAGCUCGUCUUAACAACGCAAUGACAGUAAUGCAUAUCUUUCGUAUCACAUUGGGCUUUAUUCUCUAAUUGAAAGGGGGUGGGGGUACUUGGAGCGACGUAUGAUCUUCAUGGGUCAGACAUCACUACUGAGGUUUCUGAUGAUCCAGAGAUAUGGGCUCAUGUGUGGCAGGAGGUAGCAGGGACAGGGUAUAUGAGCCAGUGGGAGUAAUCAGUGUUGAAUCUCAUUUGGACAAAUUUGUUAGUUGUGUGGUGAAUUUAAAACAGGUUUUAUAAUUUUUUUGGUGAUUUUUUUUGCAUUAUUUAGUAGAAUGGGAUCUGUCUUUUCUUUUAGCUUUUUUUAUUUAUUUUUAUUUUUUUUAUUUUAAAUGUUCCGUCACAAAUUCGUCACAAAAAAUAAAGAUGUUUUGUUGCAAAUGUGUUGCAUUAACUAAAACAAAACAAUUAAGAAAUGCGUAGGAAAUGCGUUGCAAACUUUGUAACACAAUAUCUUCGUAGGAAUUGCGUUAAAAUUUGUGUAGUAAAUGCGUAGUAAUUAGUUUCCGACGAGGCUUUUUCCAACAUUAAGGUUUUGUUGCAAAUGCGUAGCAAAUCUGAGUUUGAUACGCAUUUGUGACGGA
rnacentral:lncRNA from 1 species